UACGAAGGGGGCUAGCGUUGUUCGGAAUUACUGGGCGUAAAGCGCACGUAGGCGGAUCGAUCAGUCAGGGGUGAAAUCCCAGGGCUCAACCCUGGAACUGCCUUUGAUACUUUCGAUCUGGAGUAUGGAAGAGGUGAGUGGAAUUCCGAGUGUAGAGGUGAAAUUCGUAGAUAUCGGGAGGAACACCGGUGGCGAAGGCGGCGACCUGGGUCGAGACUGACGCUGAGGCGCGAAAGCGUGGGGAGCAAACAGG
rnacentral:rRNA from 1 species